AUGCAGCGACGCCGCGUGCGGGAUGAAGGCCUUCGGGUUGUAAACCGCUUUCAGGAGGGACGAAAAUGACGGUACCUCCAGAAGAAGGCCCGGCCAACUACGUGCCAGCAGCCGCGGUAAUACGUAGGGGCCAAGCGUUGUCCGGAUUUAUUGGGCGUAAAGGGCUCGUAGGCGGUUUGACAAGUCGGACGUGAAAACCCGGGGCUCAACCCCGGGACGCCGUUCGAAACUGUCAUGACUAGGGUCCGGUAGAGGUGAGUGGAAUUCUCGGUGUAGCGGUGGAAUGCGCAGAUAUCGAGAGGAACACCAGUAGCGAAGGCGGCUCACUGGGCCGGUACCGACGCUGAGGAGCGAAAGCGUGGGGAGCAAACAGGAUUAGAUACCCUGGUAGUCCACGCCGUAAACGUUGAACACUAGGUGUGGCGAGUUAAUCCAUACUUGCCGUGCCGCAGCUAACGCAUUAAGUGUUCCGCCUGGGGAGUACGGCCGCGAGGCUAAAACUCAGAGG
rnacentral:rRNA from 1 species